rnacentral:rRNA from 1 species
GACAUAGGUGGCAAACGUUAUCCGGAAUUAUUGGGCGUAAAGAGCUCGUAGGCGGUUUGUCGCGUCUGCUGUGAAAACCUGAGGCUCAACCUCGGGCUUGCAGUGGGUACGGGCAGACUAGAGUGCGGUAGGGGUGACUGGAAUUCCUGGUGUAGCGGUGGAAUGCGCAGAUAUCAGGAGGAACACCGAUGGCGAAGGCAGGUCACUGGGCCGCAACUGACGCUGAGGAGCGAAAGCAUGGGGAGCGAACAGG